UACGGGGGGGGCAAGCGUUGUUCGGAAUUACUGGGCGUAAAGGGCGCGUAGGCGGGCGGACAAGUCUCUCGUGAAAUCCCACGGCUCAACCGUGGAACUGCGGGAGAUACUGUCUGUCUUGAGUCCGGGAGAGGAGGGUGGAAUUCCCAGUGUAGCGGUGAAAUGCGUAGAUAUUGGGAGGAACACCGGUGGCGAAGGCGGCUCUCUGGACCGGUACUGACGCUGAGGCGCGAAAGCUAGGGGAGCAAACGGGAUUAGAUACCCCGGUAGUCCUAGCCGUAAACGAUGAGCACUUGGUGUAGCGGGUAUCGACCCCCGCUGUGCCGAAGCUAACGCAUUAAGUGCUCCGCCUGGGGAGUACGGUCGCAAGGCUGAA
rnacentral:rRNA from 1 species